GAGACAUCAUCCCAGUUAAUGAUUGAGAUGGGGAGUCAGAAUCAUCACCUCUCCCCACUGCAUUCAGGCUCAUUGACUUCUUGUGAUUUUUCUCUAGAGGCUCUCUUGUUCAUGCAGGUUGUUGUUCCCCCAGGUGACUGAAGGAAGAGAAGCUAAGAAAGAGAUCUGGUCAUUUGUUAAUAACUUAUCCUUCAUUUCUGCUUCUUUGAUCUAGAGAAAAGAACCAACUAGUUUGGCCAGGUGUUGUGUGAUCAAGAGAUUUGAAGGAUGUGCUAGAGCGUGGAGGUGCCUGGUUUAAGGCCAGUUCUUGGAAACUGCCAUGAACUCAGUGCUGCUCUGGAUGGAAGAGUUUAUGGCGUGGCUGCAGUCUGCUCAUCAUGCAGUCAGCUUUCUUUCUGGUGUCUGUUAUGGCUCCCGCCAAGCCCGGCCUCCAGGCUGCAGAGCAGAUGUGUCCUGUUCAAAGGCCUCACCACUUGCACCUCUCAGGCUCCUGACUGCCUUUCUGCAGAGCAGUGAGUUCCCCAGGAUCAUGAAUAAGCCAGUGCUGGACUACGGAUUGGAGUAAGAUGCUAUCAUCACUAAUGUGACUUCAAGAUUCAUUAUAGU
rnacentral:lncRNA from 1 species